GACUCUGUAGCUCAGUUGGUUAGAGCGAUGCACCGGAAUCGCAGGGGCGCAGGUUCGAUUCCUGCCAGAGAAC
rnacentral:tRNA from 1 species